CUGACUUUUAAGUCCUGUCUCCACAGCACAACAGAGACGCCUGUCCGCUCUUGUUGGAAACGAGGACCGGGAAGCUGGACACAGCAGCCUAGCCCUUAACAGUACUGACUGCUCUGUGGACAGGAGCUGAGCCUGAUUCCAGCACCCAUGUCGCAUGGCUCAGCACUAUCCCAGCGCCCGGAGAUGUGUGGUCCUGGCCUCUGUGCAUUUUUCUAAAAGAAAGAUGAUCUUAUUCUUUCCUGGAGGUUUGAGAGUGCUUUUCCCUGAUCUAAUUAUCAGUGCAUUAGGUCGCCCUUGCACAGGCAAACAGUGAGAUUUCUGUGUUGUUGGUAACUAAGGUGGUAGCUAGCCGAACAAAAGCGCUGGAUUUCCUAAGUGGGACAGAUAUUUCAGCUGUGAUCCCGUACGAAGAAGGGUGAGCAAGAGCAUCCUUGUCAUAUGUGACUGUCCACUCACAGCUCGAG
rnacentral:lncRNA from 1 species